CACAGUGAGGUCACAUCUAGAUACAUGUCAGACGGCACGGUGAGGUCACAUCUAGAUACAUGUCAGACAACACGGUGAGGUCACAUCUAGAUACAUGUCAGACGGCACGGUGAGGUCACAUCUAGAUACAUGUCAGACAACACGGUGAGGUCACAUCUAGAUACAUGUCAGACGGCACGGUGAGGUCACAUCUAAAUACAUGUCAGACGGCACAGUGAGAUCACAUCUAGAUACAUGUCAGACAACACGGUGAGGUCACAUCUAGAAACAUGUCGGACAACACAGUGAGGUCACAUCUAGAUACAUGUCAGACAACACGGUGAGGUCACAUCUAGAUACAUGUCAGACGACACAGUGAGAUCACAUCUAAAUACAUGUCAGAUGACACAGUGAGGUCACAUCUAGAUACAUGUCAGACGGCACGGUGAGGUCACAUCUAGAUACAUGUCAGACAACACGGUGAGGUCACAUCUAGAUACAUGUCAGACGGCACGGUGAGGUCACAUCUAAAUACAUGUCAGACGGCACGGUGAGGUCACAUCUAGAUACAUGUCAGACAACACAGUGAGAUCACAUCUAGAUACAUGUCAGACGGCACGGUGAGGUCACAUCUAAAUACAUGUCAGACGGCACGGUGAGGUCACAUCUAGAUACAUGUCAGACGACACAGUGAGAUCACAUCUAAAUACAUGUCAGAUGACACAGUGAGGUCACAUCUAGAUACAUGUCAGACGGCACGGUGAGGUCACAUCUAGAUACAUGUCAGACAACACGGUGAGGUCACAUCUAGAUACAUGUCAGACGGCACGGUGAGGUCACAUCUAAAUACAUGUCAGACGGCACGGUGAGGUCACAUCUAGAUACAUGUCAGACAACACAGUGAGAUCACAUCUAGAUACAUGUCAGACGGCACGGUGAGGUCACAUCUAAAUACAUGUCAGACGGCACGGUGAGGUCACAUCUAGAUACAUGUCAGACGACACAGUGAGAUCACAUCUAAAUACAUGUCAGAUGACACAGUGAGGUCACAUCUAGAUACAUGUCAGACGGCACGGUGAGGUCACAUCUAGAUACAUGUCAGACAACACGGUGAGGUCACAUCUAGAUACAUGUCAGACGGCACGGUGAGGUCACAUCUAAAUACAUGUCAGACGGCACGGUGAGGUCACAUCUAGAUACAUGUCAGACAACACAGUGAGAUC